rnacentral:snoRNA from 1 species
CUCAAUGAUGAUCAUCCUGAUAGGGACAUCUGAUGCAAAGCACAUGAUGUGAACAGGAAAGAGAAUUUUAGUAGAUGCCUCUUGUUAUCUGAUG